GCUGACAGGAUUCCUAGAUCCCAACUCAAGCUGUCUGUUGAUUUUAACUACAGUGUUUGAGGCUGUGUGUGGAACACAGAUGAAUAACCAGCCCUGGAAUUGAUUUUUCAGAAUGAGAGAAAACAGCCUAAAUGUGAUGUUCUUAAUUAAGAAGCACAUGCACCACUCUGGAAAUGUACUAGCAAAUAAAACAACCAGCUGAGAAAGGAAGAGAGGCUGAAGAGUGCAAGAGUUUAGGUUGGACAACCAGAAAUUUGGGUCAUAGUAAACAAGGCACAUGACUCGGCAAAGUUAAUUACUACUCACUCUCAGCCUUGUGUCCUCAUCUGUAAAUUGAGGAUAAUAAAAAUACUAUCUCCCACACUGUACUGUAUGAAAGA